rnacentral:rRNA from 1 species
GACGAACGCUGGCGGCGUGCUUAACACAUGCAAGUCGAACGGAAAGGCCCUGCUUUUGUGGGGUGCUCGAGUGGCGAACGGAUGAGUAACACGUGAGUAACCUGCCCUUGACUUUGGGAUAACUUCAGGAAACUGGGGCUAAUACCGGAUAGGAGCUCCUGCUGCAUGGUGGGGGUUGGAAAGUUUCGGCGGUUGGGGAUGGACUCGCGGCUUAUCAGCUUGUUGGUGGGGUAGUGGCUUACCAAGGCUUUGACGGGUAGCCGGCCUGAGAGGGUGACCGGCCACAUUGGGACUGAGAUACGGCCCAGACUCCUACGGGAGGCAGCAGUGGGGAAUAUUGCACAAUGGGCGGAAGCCUGAUGCAGCAACGCCGCGUGCGGGAUGACGGCCUUCGGGUUGUAAACCGCUUUCGCCUGUGACGAAGCGUGAGUGACGGUAAUGUGUAAAGAAGCACCGGCUAACUACGUG